CUAAUAUAUCGAACCGACAUUAGUUUCAUGAAACUGUUUGUACGCUACAUUUUAUCACUCAACUAACAAGCCCAUCCUUACUAUAGCAACAUGGCGAUGCUCCAGACGGAAGUAGUGCAGCAGUGUAGUGUCGUAACAGAAGUCUACCAGACUGAAACCCCGACACUCCACCUCCAACAGACCCCGUCAGAAACAACACAGAGCAACUAUGUGAAGAUAAUAAAGAGUAUUGGAGCUGGCAGUGUGGUGGAUAUACUACCUUCAGUUGUCGAGCACAUUGUCAGCAACACUAACAAGAUCGAGCGAAGUGAGCUUAUCCAGGAAAUGGCGCGGAAGUUGAAAGACGAGGCAAUAAUGUGGCAGCUUGUGAAGCACAACCUCCUCAACUCUAUUCUCUCCCAACUUCUGGAUAUCUUCAGUGGGGAGACUUCUCAGUCCAUACAGUUCGAGCUCAUGACUGUUAUAUGCUCCCUCCCUCAGUCUCACUUGACAGAGAAAUUAUUAUCAAAACUCCACUCUGCCGCUCUUUCCUCCUCUCCCCUGAUCAGAAGACAAAGUCUCCUUCUGGUCCUCAAAACCCUUCCUCCAAACGUUUCUCUUAAGUUUUUACUCGCUUACCUUGAUGAUGAUGACCCAAGAGUUAGAACAACAGCAAUACAGCAUCUCCACAAAGCAGCCGACUCUGGGUGUGACAUACCUUUCUCUGUUUAUCACAAGCUUAUCGCUAACUUAUCUGACUCCUUCGACGAGGUGAGACUACACUCAGUUCGUUUAUUACCUCAUCUGGUUAAACAACACAGACACGAACAUCUAGAAACUACAGGAUCACGUACCACCACCCUGACUCACCAUACAUUCGUUCAGCUGUGUAUGCUAAUGAGGGACAUGAGCACUAAUGUCAGAAGUGAAGUGGCUAGAGUCCUGGGAUUGUUCACUGAUGUUGACCCGGAGUAUUUGAAGCAGACCCUAGACAAGAAGAUACGGUCUAGUAUGAGAAUCCUGCCAGCGGGUUCUAAAAUGAAACAAGAGUACGCUUCGGGUCGUAAGUGGGGCGGCGACGCACCCAUUAAAACUGUCAGCGGGGAAAUAAACAUAUUUGAUCCGGCUGGAUGCGGAGCGUUUAUCCAUGGAAUGGAGGACGAAUUCCGCGCAGUACGGAGCAACACAGUUCAGGCCAUGUGCGACUUGUCCACUAGUUGUCCUGAGUAUGGAGCUGUGUCCAUGUCUCACCUAGUUGAUAUGUUGAACGACGAAACUGGGGGAGUUAGGUUGCUGGCUAUACGGUCUCUUCAACUUAUCAGCGAGAGUGUGCACCUACACGAAGAUCAGUUAGAAACAGUGAUGAGCGUGUUAGAGGAGUCAAAUGUUGAGAUAAGACACAGCUUACAUUCCCUUCUCUCGUCCUGCAAACUUAAUUCACAGGUUGCUGUACGUCGUGUUUUGAAAGGACUCCUAGAUAACCUCAAGAAGUACCCGCAAGAUAAGAGCAGUAUAUACAAAUGUGUUCAGGGGGUCGGUGGCAACAACCCAAACUUCGUCUCUCUCUUGGCUCCAGAAAUGCUAAGCAAACAUCCCUACCUGGCUCAAACGGAGCCGAGCACGGACGAUACCUCCUACGUGGCGACCAUGAUUCUUGUUUUCAACGCAGCUAAACACAACUCUGUGAUAUUUUCCUUCUUUCACAGCUACACCCCUAAACACUAUGUUUACAUUUACAGUUUGUUGCCGGAAUUGGUUCCUCAGCUACCCCAGGUCCACAAGAUUCUGAAAGGUUCGGACGUAUCCGCAAACAUCGACUCGAUUACGUCAUCCCUCAAUCUUAUCUUGAAACAGUUCUUGAACCUUUGUAAAAGUGGUGCUCACAUAGCAGCCAUGACAAAAACUCUGGAAAACAUUGAAAAAAUCCAGAAGUGCUCGACUCGCAUUCAUCCCCAGACAAAAUACGCAUCUCUUCUCGUGAAUAUUCUUCUGCAACUCUCCAAGUUGAGAAACAUUGACAGAAAACGUAUGGCGGACGGCCAUCACCGAGUUCUGUCAAAAAUCAAGGACAUAGUCUGUGAUCUGUGCUUGUUUCAAACUUGUUUCAGAGGAUCUGAUCAUAUCGUGUUUUUAGGAAAACUUCUCAAAUUCUACUUUAUUCAGUUUCUGCACCAACACAUAGCAAUUAAAGUCAUAACUGAUGAAGACAUUGCCCGUUAUCGGGACCACGUACUCAGUUUCGCGGGUGAGAACAACUUACCAGUUCCAACUCAGAUCAGGGCUGACAGAAACUUCAAUCUUCUCCAAUAUAUGCAUUCUCAGGACACUUUAGUCACCUCUGACACAACUCACUCCCGCGCUACUAUUCUCUCCCCUCAAAGUAACACAGAGCGUGUAAACGAGUUCCCUUCUCAUCUCUCAUACUCAGUUGAAAUAGAAGCAGAGACACACCACGUGGAGCCCCAGAAUCUGGCUGUGAAGGUGAGGUACCCUGGAUUCAGGGAGGUGGUGUGUCAGCCGGUCGUUCAGAACUAUCUCCAGGAUUACUAUCAGAACACUGUGUUUGUGGGUGGUGUCAGUUGGUCAGAUCCCGGCCUCAUUCAGGUCAGUUUGGUUACAGAGUACAAGUUUGAGGAGUAUGAAGAGUGUUUGGCUAAGCUUUAUGGCGAGGAGAAAGUUUGGUUGGAAAUAUCUGAUUCUGUGCAACUGAAGAUACACCCCAGACCCUCUAAAUAGCGGGGGUGAAAAUUAAAAACUUUGCUCGUUUUUGACGAUGAGAUUAGUCUGUUUUGUUAAUAAGUUUUAUUGUAUUUAUAAUUUAAUUUCAAAACCC